GCGAGAGUGGCGGAAUUGGUAGACGCACUGGAUUUAGGUUCCAGCGCCGUGAGGCGUGAGAGUUCGAGUCUCUCCUUUCGCACCA
rnacentral:tRNA from 4 species